rnacentral:lncRNA from 1 species
AAAGUCUCUUCAUCAAUAAAUUUUCAAAGUUUCAUUUUUUUUUAAACAAAAGUUGCACAAAAGUAAGCAAUCCAGCCUUCCAUUAUAUAUGGUAUGGAAUAAUUUAUCUAUGUUUCACCGGUAUUCAUGAUCACCACAGCUAAAAGCAAACGAAAAUAUUAAAAACUGAAACAAAUUAAUCGGUUUUCAUCCCCCUUUAUUUUUGGAAAUUACGGAUGCAAUAUUAAAUGAUUAUUUUUCGUAUGCUUUCCUAGAGCUUCCAAUUACUGGUCAUUUACAAAUUCUAACACGUGAUUUCUUUUAUUAUACAGAAAAAA